CUAAAAUAUUGAUGGGACACCUAAUUAAACAGAAGCGAAAUGAAAACAUAUAGGCAGAACAUAUCACUUGAUGGCUGGAGGUAGAUGGUCUUAUCUUUGAAAAGUUUGCACAACACGACACCAUCAAGACUUCGACCUGCCUCCAAAACUGGCUUGACCAACUUGGUGUAGGUGGCCAUCAUUAUUGUGACCCUUGGUUUGUUUUGAAAUAGGGUCCUCAGGUGUUGCAGAAUCUCCUGUGCAGUCCACUCCUUCUGAAACUGCACAGCAGACACUAUAUAUCCAUGCUCUGCCAGGAAUGUUUUUCUAAUGGACCUUGGAACCUUGCAGUCUCUGGGAGAUGUAAGCAGGCAAACAUCUCGAAGAAAGGGGACAUGUUCAGAUGUCCUUUUCCUUUUUCCAUGCCUUAGUUAACAAUUAAUGAGGUAAUGAGCAUUAAUGAAGUAAUGUUACUCCAAUAUACUCUGUAUAUUUCACUAUAAAACGUUACAUAUGUCUAAAAUGUAAAAAAAAAAAAUUAAAGGUGCCUAAUCAAAAUAGAUGAAUUAAUAUUUCAGAUACAGUACAUUUAAGAACACUAACACCCUGAAAUUUUUUUAUUUUAGAUAUAGGCAUGUGAUGAAGCAUCUGUAAAACUUUGUGGAAACUGAUGUAUAACUUGUCUUGGACUGAGCCAGCUAGUUGCUGUGUUAUAGGCAUGCAACUGCAUGUAAAUUCUUUUAGCUAAAUACUGGGCAGUUUAUCACCGCUGUCUAGCCAGUGCAGCACUGAAGAUAGUCCAGUACAGACUGAAAUGUUUUCUUUUUGUUUGUUUGUGUGUGUAUGUUCACAGUCACAUUUUUUUGUUAGUGCACUUAGAUUUUGUUACCACUUCCACGUAAAUAUUAAGUAAUACAUUUUUGUUCAAAGGACAUUGAACGCUACUGCAUCAAUUCAUGCUUUGACCCAAUAAGCUACUCUUUAAUUGGUAGAGUGAAUGUGAGGAGGCUCUUUAGGUCACUGAAGCAGGCCCUCACUAGUUCUGUCAUUGUAGCUUACCCAUGUGUGUACUCAUCUAACAAAUUAUUUUAAAUUACCUUUUUGGUAAAAUUUCUCAGCUAAAA